rnacentral:rRNA from 1 species
UACAGAGGCGGCAAGCGUUGUUCGGAAUUAUUGGGCGUAAAGAGCACGUAGGCGGCUCUGUAAGUCAGCUGUGAAAGCCUUCUGCUUAACGGAAGAACAGCAGUUGAAACUACAGGGCUUGAGUGCGGGAGGGGAGAGUGGAACUUCUGGUGGAGCGGUGAAAUGCGUAGAUAUCAGAAGGAACGCCGGCGGCGAAAGCGGCUCUCUGGUCCGCAACUGACGCUGAGUGUGCGAAAGCUAGGGGAGCAAACGGG